AUUGAACGCUGGCGGCAGGCCUAAUACAUGCAAGUCGAGCGGAGGAAGUGUGGUUGUUCCUCUAUUCAAAGUCGGACGGGUGAGUAAUGCCUAGGAAUCUGCAUGGUAGUGGGGGAUAACGUCCGGCAAUGGGAGCUGAUACCUCAUACGUCAUGAGGGAGAAUGUGGCGUGUGAUAGAACUUAAAGUUAUUUGUGCAAACUAUGUUGGAUUAGCUAGUUGGUGGGGUAAAGGCCGACCAAGGCGACGAUCCGUAACUGGUCUGAGAGGAUGAUCAGCCACACUGGAACUGAGACACGGCCCAGACUCCUACGGGAGGCAGCAGUGGGGAAUAUUGCGCAAUGGGCGAAAGCCUGACCCAGCCACGCCGCGUGUGUGAAGAAGGUCUUCGGUUCGUAAAGCACUUUUAUUAGGGAAGAAUGGAUGUAUGUUAAUACCUCGCGUUUGUGACGGUACCAACAGAGAAAGCCCCGGCUAACUACGUG
rnacentral:rRNA from 1 species